UUUAAUUGAAGAGUUUGAUCAUGGCUCAGAUUGAACGCUGGCGGCAGGCUUAACACAUGCAAGUCGAGCGGUAGCACAG
rnacentral:rRNA from 1 species